rnacentral:ncRNA from 1 species
AAGAGCCGGAUGAGGGGAGACCCUUAUGUUUGGUUUGGAGGGCGGGGAUAUCCCGACCAUAAUAUCAUUAUGCAUUUGCAAUGUUACUUGGUUCAACUCCAU